ensembl:lncRNA
GUUACUACGCAGCUGUACGUGACAGAGCCCGCUGUGGCUGGAAGUGUAAAGGAUGGCAGUUCAGAAUCCUCUCUUGCCAGCUUGCCGUGCUGCAGUCUUGAGCUUGUGAAGCGUGCUCCUGAGGGCUUCUUUUUCGUUUGAAAGGUGGUAUUUUGUGGGAGAUGAUGCUUAACUGCGGGGCGAAAAGUAGGAUCUGGGGGAGAAAAUCCAUUUCUGGGUCGGAAAGAAUAGGACAUUUUCUCCCCCAAGUACCCCUUGUCUCACCGAAACAAGACUCUUUCACCACUAAAUACCACUACUCUCC